ACCUGGCUGGCUCAGUCGGUCGAGCAUGUGACUCUUGAUCUCAGGAUCCUGGGUUCAAGCCCCAGUUUGGGUG